GGGUUGUGAGGUUAAGCGACUAAGCGUACACGGUGGAUGCCCUGGCAGUCAGAGGCGAUGAAGGGCGUGCUAAUCUGCGAUAAGCGCCGGUAAGGUGAUAUGAACCGUUAUAACCGGCGAUACCCGAAUGGGGAAACCCAGUGUGAUUCGUCACACUAUCAUUACGUGAAUACAUAGCGUAAUGAAGCGAACCGGGGGAACUGAAACAUCUAAGUACCCCGAGGAAAAGAAAUCAACCGAGAUUCCCCCAGUAGCGGCGAGCGAACGGGGAGGAGCCCAGAGCCUGAAUCAGCAUGUGUGUUAGUGGAAGCGUCUGGAAAGGCGCGCGAUACAGGGUGACAGCCCCGUACACAAAAGCGCAUGUGUUGUGAGCUCGAUGAGUAGGGCGGGACACGUGGUAUCCUGUCUGAAUAUGGGGGGACCAUCCUCCAAGGCUAAAUACUCCUGACUGACCGAUAGUGAACCAGUACCGUGAGGGAAAGGCGAAAAGAACCCCGGCGAGGGGAGUGAAAAAGAACCUGAAACCGUGUACGUACAAGCAGUGGGAGCACCCUUUGGGGUGUGACUGCGUACCUUUUGUAUAAUGGGUCAGCGACUUAUAUUCUGUAGCAAGGUUAACCGAAUAGGGGAGCCGGAGGGAAACCGAGUCUUAAUUGGGCGUUAAGUUGCAGGGUAUAGACCCGAAACCCGGUGAUCUAGCCAUGGGCAGGUUGAAGGUUGGGUAACACUAACUGGAGGACCGAACCGACUAAUGUUGAAAAAUUAGCGGAUGACCUGUGGCUGGGGGUGAAAGGCCAAUCAAACCGGGAGAUAGCUGGUUCUCCCCGAAAGCUAUUUAGGUAGCGCCUCGUGAAUUCAUCUCCGGGGGUAGAGCACUGUUUCGGCUAGGGGGCCAUCCCGGCUUACCAACCCGAUGCAAACUGCGAAUACCGGAGAAUGUUAUCACGGGAGACACACGGCGGGUGCUAACGUCCGUCGUGAAGAGGGAAACAACCCAGACCGCCAGCUAAGGUCCCAAAGUCAUGGUUAAGUGGGAAACGAUGUGGGAAGGCCCAGACAGCCAGGAUGUUGGCUUAGAAGCAGCCAUCAUUUAAAGAAAGCGUAAUAGCUCACUGGUCGAGUCGGCCUGCGCGGAAGAUGUAACGGGGCUAAACUAUGCACCGAAGCUGCGGCAGCGACACUAUGUGUUGUUGGGUAGGGGAGCGUUCUGUAAGCCUGUGAAGGUGUGUCGUGAGGCAUGCUGGAGGUAUCAGAAGUGCGAAUGCUGACAUAAGUAACGAUAAAGCGGGUGAAAAGCCCGCUCGCCGGAAGACCAAGGGUUCCUGUCCAACGUUAAUCGGGGCAGGGUGAGUCGACCCCUAAGGCGAGGCCGAAAGGCGUAGUCGAUGGGAAACGGGUUAAUAUUCCCGUACUUGGUGUUACUGCGAAGGGGGGACGGAGAAGGCUAUGUUGGCCGGGCGACGGUUGUCCCGGUUUAAGCGUGUAGGUGUGUGUUCCAGGUAAAUCCGGUUCACUUUAACACUGAGGCGUGA
rnacentral:rRNA from 2 species